ACAGACCCUAACGUUCCUCUCUCCUCUCCCUUUCAACGUUAACCUGCCACCCCAACGUCACCACCACCCCACUCCCCGUCACUUCCAUCACUUCACCACCACCACAGCAACAUCCCACGAAAUCCGCUGCCUUCUCUUUUCUCACACUCCAUCUCUGAAAGCUUGCAGGCUCCAUGUGCAAUUUCAGCCGAUUUCAGGUUUCUUUUUGGCGUCAAAAUCUCUUUUCAAGUUCUCGGCUGAAACAACAAGCUUUCGAGUGGAUUCGGAGACUCGCCGACGACAAUAGCCUCAGUUCGCUGUCACGGAGAAGGUAAUCACAUUCGUCCUAUCUUCGUCUUUAAUUUUGUAAAACUAGAAAUGUAGUCGUUCAAGUAUUUCUUGUCGUAUAUUUGGUUUAGUUGGCUGGAAUGUGUGUUCUCCUCGUUUGUUGUAAAUUAGUGUGAAACGAAUUAUUUCAUCGAAUAUGUGCUUAACCCCGUCGCUGCUCGGCAAAAAGAUAAUUCUCAAAAUCCCUCUCUUUUAAAUUUUUUUCGCUUUUAGUUCUGUCAUGGUAUAGCAUUAUGCGGUUUGUGUUUUAGACAAGUUUAGGUCUAAUCAUGUGUAACAACCUUAAAUCUUGAGAUUUUACUAGUUUAAGCUUCGAAAAAAUAAAACUAGCAAUGCUCUAGUGUUAGCUUAAUACUGCCUUGAAUAGUUGCUGAUAUUUACUAGUGUCACUUUGUUUUAUAUGAUCAGUUUAGUUUAAAGCUAAUGGGAAAUCUGGUUUAAAUUAGCAUAAGAUAAAAUUGAUGUGCUGUUUGGAGCAAUUAACAUACGUCAGUUUCAGCUCUUGGGCUGGUUUAUAUUGUCUUAAGGAGAUUAGAUGUUGUUUUAGAUUUAAACAAUCUAAAGAUGUCUUUUGAAACAUACUUGAGCACCUGGCAGCCUUGAUAUAUAGACAUUUAAUUCAAAUUUGAUCAGAAAAUUUCUCUUAUUAAUCCCUGCUUCAUGGAUUGGGAUAUCUGUCGAUUUGAAACUGUAUUAUGUUGACUCUGUCAUGUAUUUGAAACUGUUUGUGUUGGCCAAACAACCUGUAGUGAGAGUCAUUCACCAUUUUUUUUUCUCUUUGCUUAAUUGUUUAUGAGUUGUUGAAAGGAAAUGGAGGGAAUUUACACGCUGGUUUGAAUAAAAAUGGGAAUAGAUCACUGUUCAUACGAUUAUUUAGGAGGCCUCAGUUCUCAGCAUUUGACUGAGCUUAAGUUAAUAGCCUUGAAGAUUUAAAUGAUAGGCUAAUGGUUGUGCAUGUAUGAACUUGGUUCUGGUUGGGUAUAGCUGUUCUCAGUGCUUGUUAGUUUCAGUAUUCUUGCCAUUAUGGAUAGUUGAGUUAGUCUAAUGUGGGGUUGAAGUAAGUUUCUUAGAUUUAUUCUAGUAGAAACUUUGGGUAGAAAUGGAUCUUAUGGGCUGUUUCAUUACUGUCUAUAAUAGCUUCCCUUAUGUGCAUCCGGAUUCAAGUUGCAAUACAAGUUCAGCUUAUCAAGUCUGUGUCAAUAUGAUAUAGGUCUAGUCUGUGGACUUAUUUUCGUUUAAGAUACUUUUGGGGUCUGAUUGCUUAACACAUGCCCUUUUAGCAUUGUAUGGUGGCUGCCUGAAAUAAAUAGGGAUAAGGUUAUAUUUUAGCUCAAACCACAAGUUCUGUGUUGAUCUAUUGUGUGCAAGGUGUUGCUCUUUCCUGAAUUGAAUUAAGUUAUCUCAACUAGAAUACAUGUUAGUUAUUGAAUUAUGUGUCAAGAGGUUAGGAAACAAAUUAAGAACCCAUUCUGCUAUUGUUUGGCCCUCUUCUUAAAAAUGAUAAAAAUACAUAAUAUAGGAAGUGAUGGAUUUGCCAACCUAAUCUUCCUGUGAGCAUAUAGGACAUGCAUGUUUGAAUUUCUGUGGUCGUUUAUCUCUUCUUUUUCUUCUGUUAUCUUUUAGGUGUUUAAGAUUUUCACUUGAGAGAACUAAGUCUAGCAUGAUUUUUGAUCCGUUGAUAGUUGGAUCCUAUAAUUCCCUCAUGGUGGAAAAGAUAUUAGCCUGACUGAGUGCUAUUUCCCAGUUAGAAAACCCUGAACCUUUCUUUAUCUUUAAAUUAUCCUGAGGUUGUAUGUUAAAAUUCUUUUGUUUAAAUUUUGAGUCAUAAUCUUGCUCAGCUUUGCUAGUUCAAUGUGUGAUUAACUCAUGAUAAAUUUGUGAUGAGAUUAGUGUGAAGUUUUUUCAUUAGAUAUAGCUACAUCCGUCCUGUUACAUUCUGUUUGACUCAAAAAUAAAGAAUCAGUUAUGAGCUCAGCUAAAUACAAAUCAUAUGUUUUUUUUUUUCCAAGCUUUGUGAAGAGUCAAGACUAUGGUUUAAAAGUAGGGAAAAGGGGCCUGAUUUGCCCCUCUACUUUGAGAAAUGGUUCAUAUUUACCCCUCGUUAUACUAUCAAUCCACUUAUACCCCUACCGUUAGAAUAGUUGCAAUAUUUACCCCUAUAUUUAACCCUUGUCCACUGUGGCCAAUGUCGUGGGCCAGGCUUGUCCACUGUGUUCCAUUACAUUGCCACAUAAGAGGCCAUGUCAGCAAUCCCAAUUAAAUGAGUCUUAAAAUUAAAAGAUCAAAUGAUGCCUUCUUCUUCACCAUUAAAUGCCUUCUUGUUAUUAAAACAUCCCCGCCACUUUGUUGAAGAUCCCCCCACUUUGCUGGAACAAAUUUCACCGUUGAAGAUUGAAGAAUUAAACUGAGCACCGGAGCCGCCGACCAGAAACGUUGAACCCGUACCUCACCCACAACUCAAUAUGAGUCUCAAAUUAGAAGGAACAACUUUUCAACGCUGAUUUAUGGGGGUUUUGGACGGUGGCAUUAAACAGGAGUGGUCUAGGGUGGUGUGACGACGAAAAAAAUGGGUCUAUUUAGGAUGGUGGCGGUGAGAGGUGGAGAUGACGCCCUGGCGGUAUUGGUUACCGGUGAUUAAAAGAAUAGGAAGAGAUGGUAUAUUUUUGUUUUUUCUUUUCUCUGUUCGUCACUCUCCCUCUAUUUUUUUUUUAAUCUGUGUGUGUCCUUUUUUUCAAUGUAUGGUGUGUGUUUUUAUCUUAUAAAAAAAAUGAAGAAGAAGAAAUGUGUGCUGUUACUUUUUUGGGAUUUUCCGGUGAAGAAAUGAAGAUGAUGAAGAAGAAGGCAUUUUAAUGGCAUUUUAAUAAGAAGAAGAAGGCAUUUUAAUAAGAAGAAGAAGGCAUUUUAAUGGUGAAGAAGAAGGCAUCAUUUGGUCUUGUAAUUUUAAGACUCAUUUAAUUGGGAUUGCUGACAUGGCCUCUUACGUGGCAAUGUAAUGGAACACAGUGGACAAGCCUGGCUCACGACAUUGGCCACAGUGGACAAGGGUUAAAUAUAGGGGUAAAUAUUGCAACUAUUCUAACGGUAGGGGUAUAAGUGGACUGAUAGUAUAACGAGGGGUAAAUAUGAACCAUUUUUCAAAGUAGAGGGGCAAAUCAGGUCCUUUUCCCUUAAAAGUACCCUUUGAAAGAAAUUAGGCUUCCCAGAUUCUUAACUUUAAGGACUAGCUCGUAUUUUCCUAUGAUGAUUCCUGGAAAACUCUCAGUUAAGUUGUGAGAUUAUGUUGAUGAAUUCAUUCACUUUUAAGGGCAUGAAAACUUGCAUUAUUUAUCAUCCCAAAGUAUUUUUUUUCAAUGCCUGGACUGGUUAUAUCACUCAAAGAAAUGUCUUCUGUGGACAUGUAUUACUUUGUUAAAACCACUUUGUGUUUGUUGGAUACUCCUUCUUUCCCUUUUCGUUCCCUUGCAUAAUUUGGGGAAAUACCCCAACCCCAAAUGAUCCUGAGAUUCUACUUCCCUUGAAAAGCUGCUUGAUAAAAAAUGGCUAUUGCUUGGUUUGUUUUUUUUUUUUUUUUUUUCUGAGGGCAUCUCUCUUGUUUUGGUGAGUAAAUUCCGAGCAGCAAACUACUGUAAGUUACUACUGUAUUGCUGCUGCAUUGCUGCCCACGGCUGCUGCGUUUUUUUUGGGAAAAUGCCACCUUUUGAACACUUUGGGGGCGGGAAAUGGCUGCUGCAUUGCUGCCCACAAUGCUGCGUUUCUUGAGGCCAUUUCUGCUGCAUUGUAAGGCCAUUCGCUGUUGUGUCUUGAGCCAAACGAGCACAAUAUUUUUGGGGAAACAUAUGCAAUGUUUUGAACAAAUAAGUGUAGUUUCAAAGCAGUUUUGAACAGCUCCUACACUCUGAUGAUUCAUUAUCGUGUUAUGUUGCUUCCUAGUGAGUCAAUGCUGCACUUGUGAUAUUUUUACUGAUCUGAACUUGAUACUACGCUUAGGGCCGAUGAAGAGUUGUUUAACUUGAGGCCUCACUUCUAAAAGAACGGAUUUCCAUACUUAAUUGAAAGUUAACUGAUUUGAACACUUAAAACUUGCAUAAAAAGGGAGUGGGGCUGCUAUACUCAAGUUCGGGUGCAAUUAAUAUGCUAAAUUAUUUUUUCCUUAUAUGUUAUUUUUUCCUUACAUUUGAUUCUUUUAUCUAACUUUUAAUAAUUAAAGUUAUAUAGAUUCCUUUUUCCUUGUCGAGAAUUGUUUCUAAUCCUUACCUUUUUUUUUUCUUUUUCAUGAGGAACCUUGAGAGCAUUUGGAGUUAUGGCAACUUCGGAUUCUGCCCAUAUCAAAGAGCGGCCAGCAGCAGAUUUAUUUGCUCGUGUCUAGCAGUCCCACCUCGUCCACGUCUCGAGUCUCCGUCCUUCUUCCUUAUUCAAAAUUUCAAGCCUCCAUAUUGUUUGAUACAUGCUAUUUAUAUUAUUUGACUAACACUCUUGUGAAUUUGUAUUUUUUGUAGUUUUGUUUUGAACGCGUAACUUGACUUAAGUAUAUUAGUAAGUUUAGUCAUUAUCUUCCCUA